AAGCAUAUCAAUAAGCGGAGGAAAAGAAACUAACAAGGAUUCCCCUAGUAACUGCGAGUGAAGCGGGAAGAGCUCAAAUUUAAAAUCUGGCGUGCCUCCGGUCGUCCGAGUUGUAGUCUGGAGAAGUGUUUUCCGUGUUGGACCGUGUAUAAGUCUCUUGGAACAGGGCGUCAUAGAGGGUGAGAAUCCCGUCUUUGACACGGACUACCAAUACUUUGUGAUGCACUCUCAAAGAGUCGAGUUGUUUGGGAAUGCAGCUCAAAAUGGGUGGUAAAUUCCAUCUAAAGCUAAAUAUAGGCGAGAGACCGAUAGCGAACAAGUACCGUGAGGGAAAGAUGAAAAGCACUUUGGAAAGAGAGUUAAACAGUACGUGAAAUUGCUGAAAGGGAAACGCUUGAAGUCAGUCAUGUCUGCCAGGACUCAGCCUCGCUUCUGCUUGGUGCACUUUCUGGUUUGAUGGGCCAACAUCAAUUUUGACCGUUGGAGAAAGGCUUUGGGAAUGUGGCACCUUUGGGUGUGUUAUAGCCCUUUGUUGUAUACAACGGUUGGGAUUGAGGACCGCAGCACGCCUUUAUGGCCGGGGUUCGCCCACGUA
rnacentral:rRNA from 1 species